rnacentral:rRNA from 1 species
AUUGAACGCUGGCGGCAGGCCUAACACAUGCAAGUCGAGCGGAUGAAGGGAGCUUGCUCCUGGAUUCAGCGGCGGACGGGUGAGUAAUGCCUAGGAAUCUGCCUGGUAGUGGGGGAUAACGUCCGGAAACGGGCGCUAAUACCGCAUACGUCCUGAGGGAGAAAGUGGGGGAUCUUCGGACCUCACGCUAUCAGAUGAGCCUAGGUUGGAUUAGCUAGGUGGUGGGGUAAAGGCCUACCAAGGCGACGAUCCGUAACUGGGCUGAGGGGGAGAUCAGUCACACUUGAACCUGGGACCCGGCCCAAACCCCGACGGGGGGCAGCGGUGGGAAAUUUCGGACAAGGGGCGAAAGCCUAAUCAGGCAAUGCCGCGGGUGUGAAGAAGGUCUUCGGAUUGUAAAGCACUUUAAGUUGGGAGGAAGAGCAGUAAGUUAACACCUUGCUGUUUGAACGCUACCAACAGAAUAGGCACGGCCAAACUUCUG